AGAAUUGGAAAUUUGAGCACGUGGACAUUUGAAGAUUUUGGAUGAUUACUUUUAGAUGUGAUAAUAGUAUUGUAGUCUUUCUUUGGCAUUCUUUUGGCAUUUUUAUCUUUUAGUGUGUCAUCUAUAUGUUUGCUAAAAUAGUUAUGGAUAAAAUGAAAUGAUGUCUUGGAUCUGCUUCAGCGUAGCACAGGAAAGGGCCAUGGCCGAGGGUGUGGAUGAAGCAGGAUUUGCUGUGACUUGACAGUUGUUGAAACUGGUCUUAGACAGCACAAGACCAUCAGGAUGAUGAACAUGCCCAUUAUCUCCAAAAGGGUCCUUAUCUGGCUGCUUUCACCCAGUGUCAUUACUUUGGGAUUCAUCGAUGAUGCAUGUAUCAGUAGCUGGUUCCUCUCUAUGCCUGAGUAGCAUCCAUUGUAUGGAUGUACCACAGUUUAUUUGCUGUUCACCUGUUGGACGUUUGGGAUGUUUUCAGUUCUUGCCGCUGGCAAAUUGAGCUGCUAUGAAAGUUCACAUUCAUGUGCCAGUGUUUGCAUCUCCAUGUUCUUUCACUUCUUUCAGGACUGGCUGAUUCUGCUGUCCUGGCCAUGUGGUUGCUCUUUGCUCCUGACCAGUUCUCAAGUCUGGACUCUCCCAGCCACCUAUGAGCCCUCCAACGCUGUCAGCAAAGGUCUUUUCCAAUUUAAUCAGCCAGGGCUGGUCUCUAUUACGUGCAACUCAGAAACUUUCCUGAUAGAGGGUGUUUGCCAAAAGCCCAUUGUGAGCACCAUGCUUGGCUGUGAAAUAUGAGUGGCAUUUCCAUGUCUGGGCAACAAGCGAGUGUGCUGUCAUCAGCACUGCCUGCUUCUCAGCUUUGUUCUGGGGGGCUUGGGCCAUGCCCUAAGACAGGAUGGAGAAAUGAAGCUUUAAAAAUACCAAAAACAUAACACUGUCUCCAUUGCCCACUAUCAUCCUCUCCACAUGUAAGCUCCAUGAGGGUACGGAUCCUUGUCUUUUAGGGUUAUUGAUGUACAUUGAGCACCUAGAACCAUGCCUGGUAUAUAGUAAGUAUUCUGUUAACAUUUGCUGAAUAUAAAUUCACAAAGAAUAAUAAAAUUAUUCACCUAAAAAAUCAACUGGAAAACUAUUUGAACAAAUAAGAAUGCAAUAAAGUGUGUAUUAAGAGGUAA